UUGGGACGGAAGGAUUCGAACCUCCGAAUAGCGGGACCAAAACCCGUUGCCUUACCACUUGGCUACGCCCCA
rnacentral:tRNA from 1 species